AGUGAACGCUGGCGGUAGGCCUAACACAUGCAAGUCGAACGGCAGCACAGUAAGAGCUUGCUCUUACGGGUGGCGAGUGGCGGACGGGUGAGGAAUACAUCGGAAUCUACUUUUUCGUGGGGGAUAACGUAGGGAAACUUACGCUAAUACCGCAUACGACCUACGGGUGAAAGCAGGGGAUCUUCGGACCUUGCGCGAUUGAAUGAGCCGAUGUCGGAUUAGCUAGUUGGCGGGGUAAAGGCCCACCAAGGCGACGAUCCGUAGCUGGUCUGAGAGGAUGAUCAGCCACACUGGAACUGAGACACGGUCCAGACUCCGACGGGAGGCAGCAGUGGGGAAUAUUGGACAAUGGGCGCAAGCCUGAUCCAGCUACACCGCGUGGGUGAAGAAGGCCUGCGGGUUGUAAAGCCCUUUUGUUGGGAAAGAAAAGCAGCAGGUUAAUACCCCGCUGUUCUGACGGUACCCAAAGAAUAAGCACCGGCGAACUUCGU
rnacentral:rRNA from 1 species